AAGUCGUAACAAGGUUUCCGUAGGUGAACCUGCGGAAGGAUCAUUAUCGAAAUAUUUUUGAGAGGGGUUGUUGCUGGCCCAAAACUCACAGUUGAGCCCCAGUCUCAUGGCUGGGGAGAGAGGUGUAGAGGCGGAUUGGGUUUGGGAAGGCUUAGUUGAAAUUGACGAAGGCCUCAUGUACUUACAUGUACUACCUCCUGAUCCUACCACCUGUGGCAUGUGCACACCCUGAUCAUUUAUACUCUCAUACCCCUGUGCACUUUGCUGUAGGCGAAGACUUUUGGUAAAUGGAGAUGCUGGCUUAGGUUGGUGUCUUUGUGAACCAGGGCUCUUCUGCCUAUGUUUAUUAUAAACGCUUCAGUCAAAGAAUGUAACAUCGCGUGUAACGCAUUAUAUACAACUUUCAGCAACGGAUCUCUUGGCUCUC
rnacentral:misc_RNA from 1 species